GCUCAGCGCGGUAAAAGUGCUCCAGCUAUGCGCGUCUGUAUGUCUUUUUAGCUGAGGCGCUCGGUAAAUUUCACCGAAUAUGAGUUAAUAUAACUGUGUAAAAAAGCAAAUUUUGACGCCAUGUUGAAAAAUGCUUACUGGAAAGCGUCAUUACAAGCGUGAUCAUGGAAGACUCCACAUCUAGCAGUGCCUGGCGCUCUCUAAAAUUGCAAGUUUUCUGCAAAUUAUGGAAUAAAACUGGAACCAGCAGUGCCAAAACCAAAUUAGAUAUAUUAUGUCUUGGUCUAUGCCGUGGUGGAAAAGGAAUUCCAUCAAUCAUGAAGUAAAUCUGCGCACCCUGGGUUACGAAAAUCACUGACCAAUGAGAUGCAACGUCUGCACGCCUGCCCUGUGAAAAUUUUGCUGUUGGAAGUAGGAAGAUUCCGCACAACGAAUUCAGCUUGGCUCCCCACAGAAGAUUUUUCUGUUUUGAAC